AUUGAACGCUGGCGGCAUGCCUUACACAUGCAAGUCGAACGGCAGCACGGGAGCAAUCCUGGUGGCGAGUGGCGAACGGGUGAGUAAUAUAUCGGAACGUGCCCAGUCGUGGGGGAUAACGUAGCGAAAGCUACGCUAAUACCGCAUACGAUCUAUGGAUGAAAGCGGGGGAUCGCAAGACCUCGCGCGAUUGGAGCGGCCGAUAUCAGAUUAGGUAGUUGGUGAGGUAAAGGCUCACCAAGCCGACGAUCUGUAGCUGGUCUGAGAGGACGACCAGCCACACUGGGACUGAGACACGGCCCAGACUCCUACGGGAGGCAGCAGUGGGGAAUUUUUGGGACAAUGGGCGCAAGCCUGAUCCAGCAAUGCCGCGUGCAGGAUGACGGUCCUAUGGAUUGUAAACUGCUUUUGUACAGGAAGAAACACUCCCUCGUGAGGGAGCUUUGACGGUACUGUAAGAAUAAGGAUCGGCUAAC
rnacentral:rRNA from 1 species